GAUGGCAUAUAGAGUUCGACCGCUAGACAGAAAAGAAAUUUGAUGAAUCUUUUAUGGCAAAGCUAUCUAAGAUUGCUGUCUCUGAGAUUAUACCUUCCAAGGUCUCAGUUUUCAUUCAGGAAAAUUCGGAACUCAACUCUAAUUGGCUAGCAAUGGGCCUGCUUGUUGCAAAUUGGAUCACAUUUACCUGACAUAGAAUUGCAGAUGACGGAUGAGAUUUAUCUUCAUUUAUCAGGGCUAACUUCAGCAUUACCAGCUAUGAUCAUUCACAAAUUCUAUCAAUUCUCGGCAAUGUGCGGGGAUGUACACUGGCCAGUUUUUUUUGCCAAUGGAAUCAGAAGAAUCAAGAUAUCACUUUUGAGGUAGCAUUAAAAAGUGGUUCAUACUCAAAAACUCCCGGUUCGGGUGGCAUCAGUGGAAGCCUUAGGUGAGAUGGUUGGUCAUAUUCAUUGCUUAUGUUUUGGUGCGAGACAGGAAUACCACAAAUAUUUAGAGUAACCAAAGUAUUUAUAGUACGGUUUGAUUUUCUUCUUUCCUGUUGUCAGGCAUAAAAAGAAUGAAGCUAUCGCUUUUUUGGCCACAUAUAGUAUCCACAACCUCUUAAAUGCAUCUUUACUAUCAGAAAGUGGUCCUCCUUUGCUUGAUUUUGAGGUAGCAUUAAAAAUAAAGUUCAUAUUAAAAAAUUCCCGAUCAGUUGAGUAUCUUUGUCUUGGACUCUAGUUCUCCUAUGUUUUUUUGGCCUGUAUCAUUAUGUUACUAGGUUUUCUCAAU